rnacentral:ncRNA from 1 species
CGCCCUGUGGUGGAUUCCCACUACUUUGAUCGUUUCUUUACUUAUUCGGUAAAGCGAAAAAAUUGUGGCCAAUUUGGCGGCGUUUAUGUCGCUGUUGGUCAUUGUUUUCAUGUUGGAUUGAAGCUUUGUUUACAGCCGUCGCUUUGUGUCUUCAUUUGGCGCAUUGUUGUACUGGGUUAUCCCAGUGUGUGAUGUGGUCACAAUGGAUGAUCGGCGAUAGGCUUGAAGUGAUUCGCUCCGGAAACAGUGUCAGACGGGGAGUUUGACUGGGGCGGUACAUCUGUUAAACGAUAACGCAGGUGUCCUAAGGUAAGCUCAGCGAGGACAGAAACCUCGCCUAGAGUAAACGGGCACAAGCUUACUUGAUUUUGAUUUCCAGUACGAAUAGAAACCGCGAAAGCGUGGCCUAUCGAUCCUUUUGAUUGUGUAGAUUUCAUGCAAGAGGUGUCAGAAAAGUUACCACAGGGAUAACUGGCUUGUGGCAGCCAAGCGUCCAUAGCGACGUUGCUUUUUGAUCCUUCGAUGUCGGCUCUUCCUAUCAUUGCGAAGCAUAAUUCGCCAAGCGUUGGAUUGUUCACCCACCAUAGGGAACGUGAGCUGUGUUUAGACCGUCGUGAUACCGGUUAGUUUUACCCUACUGAUGACUAGUCGAUGCAAUAAUAAGCCCUGCUCAUACAAGCAGGAACCGCGUGAUCAGAGUUUUGGUUACUUGCGACUCGGGCUGA